GACGAACGCUGGCGGCGUGCUUAACACAUGCAAGUCGAGCGGAGCGGCGAACGGGUGAGUAACGCGUGAGUAACUGCCCCCCUCUCUGGGAUAACAGUUGGCAACGGCUGCUAAUACCGGAUAGUGGGGGAUGACUCGCGCCCUAUCAUCUUGUGGGUUGGGUAGUGGCCGACCAAGGCGACGACGGGUAGCCGGCCUGAGAGGGCGACCGGACCCAUUGGGCUGAGAUACGGACCAGAGUCCUACGUGGGGCAGCAGUGGGGAAUAUUGCGCAAUGGGGGAAACCCUGAUGCAGAAGCGCCGCGUGCGGGAUGACGGCCUUCGGGUGGUAAACCGCUUUCAGCCAUGACGCGGUAGUGGCAGAAGAAGCACCGGCUAACUACGUGCCAGCAGCCGCGGUAAUUC
rnacentral:rRNA from 1 species